rnacentral:rRNA from 1 species
GAACACAGGUGCUGCAUGGUGGUUGUCAGCUCGUGUCGUGAGAUGUUGGGUUAAGUCCCGAAACGAGCGCAACCCUUGUCCUUAGUUGCCAGCACGUAAUGGUGGGCACUCAAAGGAGACUGCCGGUGACAAACCGGAGGAAGGUGGGGAUGACGUCAAGUCAUCAUGGCCCUUAUGGCCAGGGCUCCCCCCGUCUUCCAAUGGUCGGUACAAAGGGUUGCCAACCCGGGAGGGGAAGCUAAUCCCAAAAACCCGAUUCUAGUCCGGAUGGCAUUUUGCAAUUGGACUC